rnacentral:rRNA from 1 species
GACGAACGCUGGCGGCGUGCUUAACACAUGCAAGUCGAACGAUGAUCAGGAGCUUGCUCCUGUGAUUAGUGGCGAACGGGUGAGUAACACGUGAGUAACCUGCCCCUGACUCUGGGAUAAGCGUUGGAAACGACGUCUAAUACUGGAUACGACUGCCGGCCGCAUGGUCUGGUUGUGGAAAGAUUGUUUGGUUGGGGAUGGACUCGCGGCCUAUCAGCUUGUUGGUGAGGUAAUGGCUCACCAAGGCGACGACGGGUAGCCGGCCUGAGAGGGUGACCGGCCACACUGGGACUGAGACACGGCCCAGACUCCUACGGGAGGCAGCAGUGGGGAAUAUUGCACAAUGGGCGAAAGCCUGAUGCAGCAACGCCGCGUGAGGGAUGACGGCCUUCGGGUUGUAAACCUCUUUUAGUAGGGAAGAAGCGAAAGUGACGGUACCUGCAGAAAAAGCACCGGCUAACUACGUGCCAGCCGCCGCAGUAA